rnacentral:rRNA from 1 species
CGUGAGUGAAGAAGGCUUUCGGGUCGUAAAGCUCUGUCAAGUGGGAAAAAAAUCUGAUGAUUAAUAGUUGUCAGGUCUGAUGGUACCACUGGAGGAAGCACCGGCUAACUCCGUGCCAGCAGCCGCGGUAAUACGGAGGGUGCAAGCGUUGUUCGGAAUUACUGGGCGUAAAGGGCGUGCAGGCGGGUUGGUAAGUCAGAUGUGAAAGCCCUGGGCUUAACCCAGGAAGUGCAUUUGAAACUGCCAUCCUUGAGUAUGGGAGAGGAGAGUGGAAUUCCCAAUGUAGAGGUGAAAUUCGUAGAUAUUGGGAGGAACACCCGUGGCGAAGGCGACUCUCUGGACCAAUACUGACGCUGAGACGCGAAAGCGUGGGGAGCAAACAGGAUUAGAUACCCUGGUAGUCCACGCUGUAAACGAUGAGAACUAGGUGUAGCGGGUAUUGACCCCUGCUGUGCCGAAGUUAACGCAUUAA